rnacentral:rRNA from 1 species
CCUACGGGAGGCAGCAGUGGGGAAUCUUGCACAAUGGGCGAAGGCCUUAUCUAGCCAUGCUGUGUGAGAGAUGAAGGCCUAGGGGUUGUAAAGUUCUUUCACCAGGGAAGAUAAGGGCGUACUUGUGAGAAGAAGCCCCGGCUAAUUCUGUUUCAGCAGCCGAGGUAAUAGGAAGGGGGCUAGCGUUGUUGGGAAUUACUGGGCUUAAAGCGCACGUAGGCGGAUAGGAAAGUUGGGGGUGAAAUCCCGGGGCUCAACCCCGGAAGUGCCUUCAAAACUAUCGGUCUUGAGGUCGAGAGAGGUGAGUGGAAUUCCGAGUGUAGAGGUGAAAUUCGUAGAUAUUCGGAGGAACACCAGUGGCGAAGGCGGCUCUCUGGCUGGAUACUGACGCUGAGGUGAGAAAGCGUGGGGAGCAAGCAGGAUUAGAUACCCUGGUAGUCCACACCGUAAACGAUGAAUGCCAGUAGUAGGCAAGCAUGCUUGUCGGUGACACACCUAACGGAGUAAGCAUUGCGCCUGGGGAGUACGGUCGCAAGAUUAAAACUCAAAUGAAUUGACGG